AUUGAACGCUAGCGGGAUGCCUUACACAUGCAAGUCGAACGAGUGGCGAACGGGUGAGUAAUGUAUAGCUAAUCUGCCCUACACUAGAGGACAACAGUUGGAAACGACUGCUAAUACUCUAUAGUGUAGGAUGAGGCUAUAUUGUAUCAGCUAGUUGGUGAGGUAAUGGCUCACCAAGGCUAUGACGCAUAACUGGUCUGAGAGGAUGAUCAGUCACACUGGAACUGAGACACGGUCCAGACUCCUACGGGAGGCAGCAGUAGGGAAUAUUGCUCAAUGGGGGAAACCCUGAAGCAGCAACGCCGCGUGGAGGAUGACACUUUUCGGAGCGUAAACUCCUUUUGUUAGGGAAGCGGUACCUAACGAAUAAGCACCGGCUAACUCCGUGCCAGCAGCCGCGGUAGUAC
rnacentral:rRNA from 1 species